UUUUAGUUUAGUGGCGGACGGGUGAGUAACGCGUGGGUAACCUGCCCUAUACAGGGGGAUAACAGUUGGAAACGACUGUUAAUACCGCAUAAGCGCACAGGAGCGCAUGCUCCGGUGUGAAAAACUCCGGUGGUAUAGGAUGGACCCGCGUCUGAUUAGCUGGUUGGCGGGGUAACGGCCCACCAAGGCGACGAUCAGUAGCCGGCCUGAGAGGGUGAACGGCCACAUUGGGACUGAGACACGGCCCAAACUCCUACGGGAGGCAGCAG
rnacentral:rRNA from 1 species